UGGGGAAUUUUGGACAAUGGGGGAAACCCUGAUCCAGCCAUCCCGCGUGUGCGAUGAAUGCCUUCGGGUUGUAAAGCACUUUUGGCAGGAAAGAAACGUCAUGGGUUAAUACCCCGUGACACUGACGGUACCUGCAGAAUAAGCACCGGCUAACUACGUGCCAGCAGCCGUGGUAAUACGUAGGGUGCAAGCGUUAAUCGGAAUUACUGGGCGUAAAGCGUGCGCAGGCAGUUCGGAAAGAAAGAUGUGAAAUCCCAGAGCUCAACGUUGGAACUGCAUUUAUAACUACCGGGCUAGGGUGUGUCAGCGGGAGGUGGAAUUCCGCGUGUAGCAGUGAAAUGCGUAGAUAUGCGGAGGAACACCGAUGGCGAAGGCAGCCAACUGGGAUAACUCUGACGCUAAUGCACGAAAGCGUGGGGAGCAAACAGG
rnacentral:rRNA from 1 species